AACCAUUCUCACCUGCGGCUAGACCUGCGGAGGGAUCAUUACAAGUGACCCCGGUUUACCACCGGGAUGUUCAUAACCCUUUGUUGUCCGACUCUGUUGCCUCCGGGGCGACCCUGCCUUCGGGCGGGGGCUCCGGGUGGACACUUCAAACUCUUGCGUAACUUUGCAGUCUGAGUAAACUUAAUUAAUAAAUUAAAACUUUCAGCAACGGAUCU
rnacentral:misc_RNA from 1 species